rnacentral:miRNA from 1 species
UACACAUAUAUAAAAUGUGUGUGUGUGUGUGUGUGUGUGUGUGUGUAUAUAUAUAUAUAUAUAUACACACACACACACACACAUACACAUAUAUAUACAAAUU